GCGAUAGUAACUCAGCUGGGAGAGUGCCAGACUGAAGAUCUGGAAGCCGCUGGUUCAAGUCCGGCCUAUCGCA
rnacentral:tRNA from 1 species